CCUCUCCCUCUCGCGCGCUCUCCCUCUCCGACUCCCUCCCUCUCUCUGCCUCUCCCUUUCCCUCUCCGCUCGCUCUCCCUCUCCCUCUCACUCUUUCUCAAAACCCUAGUCCUCUCUCUCCAUCUCCUCGGCCCUUUGCUGCAACAUCAGGUAUCUCCCUCUCCGCUCGAUCUACCGCACAUCAAGGAGCAUUCUGCUGCAACAUCAGCUCUCUCUCUCUCUCUCUCUCUCUCUCUCCCCCCUUAUCUAUUCAUAUCAAUUUGGGCUUUUUUUUUUGGCAUUUUUUAAUCCUUCAAGUAACAUUGUGCAAUGAUUUGUGUAUUGGGAAUUUUUGAGUUUUGAAUCCCUAAUUAGGGAUUUGUAGUGUCGAUUCCCUAAUUGUGGAUUAUAGAUUAAAAACUUGUGGUAUCCCUUUUUGUCUUUUUUUUUUUUUUUUGUUCUUUUUUAAACCAAGGGUAUUGUGCUGCAUUUAUUAUGAUGUUUUGAUUGAUUUCAUGCCUUUAUCUUCACCUGCAAUUGGAUCAUCUAGGAUUGUGGCAUGCUUCACAUUCAGUAUUUCACAACUGCAAAUAGCUGCAAUCAAUACCCUGUUUUCAGUGGAAUCCAUACUCUGUUUUUAGUAACCAAGCUGGUAAUCAAUGUAUGAUUGCUGGUCCCUGCACGUUAGAUACACUGGUUCUAACCACCUUUUAUUAUUGUUCACCGUCAGCCCUCAAUCGCUGUCUGUAAUCGAUAAUGAUUCCAGUGCUCGAUGUUGUUGGGUAGCAAUGCGUAGAUUGUUUUUGAAAGCUUUGUAUUUGGUGUUAGCGCAUUGAUUACUUGCUUGUCAUGGGCUGUUUGUUUUGGUUGUGGCAUAAUUGGUUGUAUGGAUUAUUUUUUGGCAUUAUAGAUACAUGUUAGUGCAUCAAUCAUUGAUAUCUUACGGGCCAAAGACCAUCUCUAGACACUAGGCUUGUGAUGUACAUGAACCCACUUUGGACCCUUUACCAGUUUUGCAAACAAACAUCAUGUGAAGAAUUAACUAGUAAGGAGUAGUCUGCCCCACCUGACUCCUUUGUUUUGUGAUUCGGGCGUGAGCAGCUAUAAUGGAUAAUCCCCUCCCGAGCUGUCUUUUGUAUGAUUCUUGCUAAGGCCGGUCCACUCGUCAGGAGCUACUUCCACGCUGGGAGAGCCUAGUGCUUCAAUAGGCAAUUCUGGGAAGACCCAACUUGCAUACAGAUGAUCUGAGAAUUCUCUUGUACAGACCAAGUUGAUAUCACUGACAGUAGCUACAUAGGAAAAGGCAUGUACAUAUGCUAGGAGCCAAUCAUAGCUUCUUUGAGGAAGAAGCUAAAGACAAAGAAGAAGAGGAAUACAAAGAAGAAUCUGAAGAAGAAACUGAGAAAAAGAAAGGCACACAGGGUGUUAAUGAGAUCGAAAAUCCUAAUUUGGUAAAACCAAAGAAUUCGAAAGCGAGAGAUGUUGAUACUGCUGCAGAGUGGGAACGUCGUAGAGAAAAUUUUGUCAAAGAGAUAGAUUUUGUUAUUGCAGACUUGGAAGCUUUGUCGGGCCUACGUUGUAUUUCGUAGUCAAUCAUCAAGCUGAGGAAUAUGGUGAUGGAUAAGAGUUGGAUUCGUAUGUCAAGGUACCUCACUAACUUCUCUUUCUAGUUGUUAUGGCCCAAUGGUUAAGAUGCAUUUUUUUGACAUGUCCUCCAAUUUCAUUGGAUGGUUUAGGGUGAGCAACGAAUACUUCAGUAGAGCCGUGAAAUUCCUAGAUGUUGCGUUUCUAAAUGCAAGCAAUAGAAGUAGGAUCCUAUGUCCAUGUAAGAAAUGCAACAAUAACUUCUGGGUAUCUCGACAAGAAGCAUACGAUCAUAUUGUGUGUGAUGGAUUUAAUACGAGUUACACCCAUUGGCGUUUUCAUAGAGAAGGUACGUCUUCUUUUAUGCCUGCUACUGCAAAUGUUGAAGUUGAUGAUCCGGAUCCAUGUGACAAUAUGCACGGAUUGUUGGAAGAUGUGUUUGGUGUUUCGUGCCCGGAUGGUCAAGAGAGUGAUACAGAAUAUGGACCUACACUGGGGCUUAAUACCGAAGCACAACAAUUUUUCAAAUUGGUGGAAGAUGCCGAUCAGGUAUUGUACCCUGAGUGCAAGAAGUUCACCAAACUAUCUUUUGUUGUUCGACUAUAUCAUGGCGCUCCCUUAGUUAUUGGCUUUGGUUUCUCUGUUCAAACCAGGCAAUGACUUUUGUUGUCACCUUUUCUAAUUUGGCGUCUACCAGAAAAUCAUUGUUUACUUUUUGUCACAGACUAGAAGAAAAGCUCUUGGACAUGAUAAUAUGCUAUGCCAAUUUGUUGAUCCCAUGUUCUGCACCACAUGUUUGAACAAUUUUGGAGGCUUUGGUGCCUGCGCUUUUCAUGGAUGUUUACAUUGUUGGAUUAAAUCAACUGUUUGACCUUGAAAUAGACAAGGUAUAUACUCCCGUAUGGAUGCUUUUGCCAUGCUUUCUAGACCAUACUGUCUACACUGGAAUCUUGCACAGAAGGAAGAA